UGCCGUAUUUAGAUAAGUGGCAGCAUAGAACAUAUUGAAAGACCAUUUAAGAGUACAGUCAAACCUCGGUUUUCAAACAUCUCGGUUCUCGUCCAAUUCCGUUUUCGACCAAAUAUUUCGAGUUUUUUAUGCCUCGGAUGACGAACAAACUUAGGUUCUCG